GAUGAACGCUGGCGGCGUGCUUAACACAUGCAAGUCGAACGAUGAAGCCCAGCUUGCUGGGUGGAUUAGUGGCGAACGGGUGAGUAACACGUGAGUAACCUGCCCUUAACUCUGGGAUAAGCCUGGGAAACUGGGUCUAAUACCGGAUAGGAGCGUCCACCGCAUGGUGGGUGUUGGAAAGAUUUAUCGGUUUUGGCUGGACUCGCGGCCUAUCAGCUUGUUGGUGAGGUAAUGGCUCACCAAGGCGACGACGGGUAGCCGGCCUGAGAGGGUGACCGGCCACACUGGGACUGAGACACGGCCCAGACUCCUACGGGAGGCAGCAGUGGGGAAUAUUGCACAAUGGGCGAAAGCCUGAUGCAGCGACGCCGCGUGAGGGAUGACGGCCUUCGGGUUGUAAACCUCUUUCAGUAGGGAAGAAGCGAAAGUGACGGUACCUGCAGAAGAAGCACCGGCUAACUACGUG
rnacentral:rRNA from 1 species